GCAGCACGGGAGCUUGCUCCUGGUGGCGAGUGGCGAACGGGUGAGUAACAUAUCGGAACGUAUCCAAUAAUGGGGGAUAACUAAUCGAAAGGUUGGCUAAUACCGCAUACGCCCUACGGGGGAAAGCAGGGGAUCUUCGGACCUUGCGUUAAUGGAGCGGCCGAUAUCUGAUUAGCUAGUUGGUGGGGUAAAGGCCCACCAAGGCGACGAUCAGUAGCUGGUCUGAGAGGACGACCAGCCACACUGGAACUGAGACACGGUCCAGACUCCUACGGGAGGCAGCAGUGGGGAAUUUUGGACAAUGGGGGCAACCCUGAUCCAGCCAUUCCGCGUGAGUGAAGAAGGCCUUCGGGUUGUAAAGCUCUUUCGCAAGGGAAGAAACGUUACUGGUGAAUAACCAGUGAUAAUGACGGUACCUUGAUAAGAAGCACCGGCUAACUACGUGCCAGCAGCCGCGGUAAUACGUAGGGUGCGAGCGUUAAUCGGAAUUACUGGGCGUAAAGCGUGCGCAGGCGGUUUUGUAAGUCAGAUGUGAAAUCCCCGAGCUCAACUU
rnacentral:rRNA from 1 species